rnacentral:rRNA from 1 species
GGUCGGCUGAGCAAGCGGGAGAGGGGGCGAGCAGCCGACUAGCGCGGCUGGUUUCCGGGCGGCGGGGCGGUUGCGCUUAGGGGCGGGAAAGGCGACGAGGGGGGGAAGAGAGGGUGAGAGGGGAGGAUGCGUCCUCCGGAUUUGCGGUGGGGAAGUGAGGGGGGGGACGGGGGAGGCCGUGGUGUUGUUGGCUGGGUUGGGGGAUUCGGGGCGCGCGGAUAUUCGCUGGCUGGCUCUAGGUAUCACGCCGUCAGCGCGGGGGCCAUCGCCGGCGCCGCCACCCGCGCGGGACUCGUCGGCGUCGGCGUCAGGUGUGGAAGGGGAUCGGCUGCCUGGGUGUCGUGUGGAGGCGGGCCGCCCGUGCGGGUGCGGCGCGCUACGUGUGGUGGUGGGACGGGAGGGAGGGAAGGGAAUGUGGUUUGUUUGCGCGGACGGACGGGGGAGAGAGGCGCGGCGCCGGGCCACUCGGGUCGGGCUGGGCCUCGGGGGAUUGGAGCGGCUCGGGAUUCGCGGUGGCGGCACGUGUGGCGUGAUUCUGUUC